rnacentral:rRNA from 1 species
AUUGAACGCUGGCGGCAUGCCUUACACAUGCAAGUCGAACGGUAACGGGCCUUCGGGUGCCGACGAGUGGCGAACGGGUGAGUAAUGUAUCGGAACGUACCUUUCAGUGGGGGAUAACGUAGCGAAAGUUACGCUAAUACCGCAUAUUCUGUGAGCAGGAAAGCAGGGGAUCGCAAGACCUUGCGCUGAUUGAGCGGCCGAUAUCAGAUUAGCUAGUUGGUGAGGUAAAGGCUCACCAAGGCGACGAUCUGUAGCGGGUCUGAGAGGAUGAUCCGCGACACUGGAACUGAGACACGGUCCAGACUCCUACGGGAGGCAGCAGUGGGGAAUUUUGGACAAUGGGCGAAAGCCUGAUCCAGCAAUGCCGCGUGCAGGAUGAAGGCCUUCGGGUCGUAAACUGCUUUUGUACGGAACGAAAAGCCCCGGGUUAAUACCCUGGGGUCAUGACGGUACCGUAAGAAUAAGCACCGGCUAACUACGUGCCAGCCGCCACGGUAAGAC